GGCUAACCGUUUUCAACGAUCAAUGUGUACCAGAAACACCUCCUGAUUUUAUCGGUCAUUUCCCUUUUUUUUCGCGCCAAAAUCACUCCCAAAUUAGGUUCUCAUCAGUAUCUCGCUCGUGCGAAACUAGGCUAGUUUUCCGUUUUGUUUCUUCGAUUUUGAUCUUCUUGGAACAGGAUCUGAUAGAUUGAAAAAAUUGAAGAAUUUUAAGGUAAGUAGGUUUCUUCAAUUUGAUCUGAAAUCUUCUUUCAUUGUGUUAGAUACUGCUCAUUCGUGUUUAAUUUUAUGAAUAUGGAGAUUUUUGUUGUGCUUUAUCUGAAUGUCCAAAUUGCUACCCUCAUAUUCGAAAUGUUAUUUCAGUCUGUGCGCAUGUGAGAUAUUGUUUUUUCGUGUUUGAUUUUUCUUCGUUGAGCUGUGAAAUGAAUCUGGAGAUGUUUAUUUUGCGUAUUUCAGAUGUUUAGAUUGCUACCUUCAUUUUCAAAAAUCAUACUAAAAAACAUCAGUUGCUCGAGAUCUCAUUUUAUAAUUUCAAUCAUACAAAUGUGAUGAUUUUGUAGCUGAGUCUCCAGAUUCGCAUCAUACAACAAUAUAUUGUUUGAUCACAUGCAUCCAAAACCUUGUUUCCUAAUAUGAUCUUCUCAGCUACAUAAUUUGUGUUUAUGUUUGCUUUGAUUGGGUGAUGCAAGAUGAUCCUAUUUCUGUAACUGAUGACAUAAAAUUUCAUUUGAUGAUUUGAUGACAAUACAGAGUGAGUAAUAUGCAUACAUGAUCCCCUACAUGUCUGGAUUGGUGAUCAGUUGCUGAACAGAGUAACACAUCUGGGGCUAAUCGUGUUUGUAAUUCUGGUGUUCAUCGUGUGGCCUUAGCAUUCAUGGUACCAGAUCCAAUUCAACUCCACUUAACCAAACUACCAGAGAUAUCACAGUGGUACCAUUG
rnacentral:lncRNA from 1 species